rnacentral:rRNA from 1 species
GACGAACGCUGGCGGCGUGCUUAACACAUGCAAGUCGAACGGAAAGGCCCUGCUUUUGUGGGGUGCUCGAGUGGCGAACGGGUGAGUAACACGGGAGUAACCUGCCCUUGACUUUGGGAUAACUUCAGGAAACUGGGGCUAAGACCGGAUAGGAGCUGAUGCUGCAUGGGGGGGGUUGGAAAGUUUCGGCGGUUGGGGAUGGACUCGCGGCUGAUCAGCUUGUUGGUGGGGUAGUGGCUUACCAAGGCUUUGACGGGUAGCCGGCCUGGGAGGGUGACCGGCCACAUUGGGACUGAGGUACGCCCCAGACUCCAACGUGAGGCAGCAGUCGGAAAUCUUGCACAAUCGGCGCAAGCCUGAUGCAGCAACGCCGCGUUCGGAAUGACGUCCUUCGGGUUGUAAACCGCUUUCGCCUGUGACGAAGCGUGAGUGACGGUAAUGGGUAAAGAAGCACCGGCUAACUACGUG